rnacentral:snoRNA from 1 species
UAUCCAUGGUGGGGGCAAAGGGUUUGUAACUCUUUGUAUCUCUCUCAGGCUUGGUAUAAGGUUUCACUAUCCUUUUGGACAAAUGAGGAGAUUUGCUUCUUAAGGGU